rnacentral:rRNA from 1 species
GAAUAUUGGACAAUGGGGGGAACCCUGAUCCAGCCAUGCCGCGUGUGUGAAGAAGGCCUUUUGGCUGUAAAGCACUUUAAGCGCGGAGGAGGCUACUUAGAUUAAUACUCUAGGAUAGUGGACGUUACUGGCAGAAUAAGCAACAGCUAACUCUGGGACAGCCGCCGCGGUAAUACAGAGGGUGCAAGCGUUAAUCGGAUUUACUGGGCGUAAAGCGCGCGUAGGUGGCCAAUUAAGUCAAAUGUGAAAUCCCCGAGCUUAACUUGGGAAUUGCAUUCGAUACUGGUUGGCUAGAGUAUGGGAGAGGAUGGUAGAAUUCCAGGUGUAGCGGUGAAAUGCGUAGAGAUCUGGAGGAAUACCGAUGGCGAAGGCAGCCAUCUGGCCUAAUACUGACACUGAGGUGCGAAAGCAUGGGGAGCAAACA